UACGUAGGGUGCGAGCGUUAAUCGGAAUUACUGGGCGUAAAGCGUGCGUAGGCGGUUAGUUAAGUCAGCUGUGAAAGCCCCGGGCUCAACCUGGGAAUUGCGGUUGAAACUGGCGAACUAGAAUCUGGCAGAGGGGGGUGGAAUUCCACGUGUAGCAGUGAAAUGCGUAGAGAUGUGGAGGAACACCGAUGGCGAAGGCGGCGACCUGGUCCUUGACUGACGCUGAGGCGCGGAAGCGUGGGGAGCAAACAGG
rnacentral:rRNA from 1 species